GACAAACUCUCUUAUAAAAGAUAAGGCAAAAAUGGCAGUCAAUUAUUGUUUCUGAUAAAUGUAAUGUCAUCCAAUAAUUUAUAGUAAUUCUGAGAACUAUAGCCAGUAAAAUGAAUUUGCAUAGUCUGUCUUCUUUAGGACACUGAUUUUCAAACUUGAAUGCACACUGGAAUCACCCGAGGAAUUUAAAAAAACACCGACACCUGGAUCCCACACAAGGACCCUGAUUUAAAUGGAUAAUCCUCACCAGCCUCAGAGUUCAUGUCUGAAAGUAUAGAGGCGGCAGAUAACCAAUGCAAGUGAACAUGGGUGAAAAUGGAUGAAAGUCCAUCUGGGCUGUCUGCAAAAUGAGAAGAUUCUAGACACUGUUUCUUAAAUACCUUGGAGGCGAGGAUCACAAAAUGCUCUCAGAAGUUUAUGAAAGCUAUGGAGUCUCCGGAAAUAUUCAGAAUUUUGCAUGUAAUUUUCAUAGAUUGCAGAUUCCCUGAAGAACACCAGUAGUUGAGGACUCCUAGAACCCAGGUUAACAGUAGCUAGGGUUCAUGCAGUACUUGACAUGUA
rnacentral:lncRNA from 10 species